GUAGCUACCAGGAUUCAGUGCGUUAGUUCAGGAUUGGCAAGUCACGUGAUCAACAUGGCGACGAAAAUGUGAAGAUUCGCACUUUUGCUACGUUCUCGGCAAAUUGUGGCGCUUUCUCAUCCACGUUUCCAAUAAUACAGGUCUACUGCUUAUCCAGAAAACAGGCAUCAGCUGAACUGAGUGCAGCAUGGCUUUACGGGCUUUUGCAGUAAUUUGGAACACAACCCUUCACAGCAGAUGUAAGUUGGCCCUGCUACGUCCAUCCGGGAGCCAAGUCUCUAUGAAGUGCAGCUUCAGCACUUUAUUCCAACCAAUCAGCAGCAUGGAACAGAAACUGUCAUCAGCAUUACUUCAGAGAAGCCUUCUACCAUCCCAGAUGACACAGAUAGCAGGCUACAAGUACAAGGUGUACCCCAAGCUGAGGUGCCGGUCGUGCUACUUCCUGAAGAUCAAAGGGGUGCUCCAUGUGCACUGUAAGACCCACCCGCGGCACAAGCAGAUUCAGUUACCGGAGCCAAAGAGAAAGCCCAAUGGUUUAGAGGACACAUGGGGCCACAAGCCACUCAAUGUCUGACAUAGGCAAAAUAGACAUGAAAAAGAGUUGCAUAACUUAAAAAUACAAAGCACUGCAGCCUAGUUCAAGAAUCUUUGUGUGUAAUCUUCUACAAGUUUAUGACUGGAAAACUCAUCUAAAAAUAAACCACCCCAUAUCAAGC